CACCUAAAUUCAACGACACUCUUAAUGAUCAAAAUUCUGCAAACAUUCCACCAUCUUUGCAGUUUCAUGAUAGGGUAAAUGAUAAUAAGCAUUCUUCCAUUGUUUCUCCAUCAUCUCACUCUUAUACACCUGGAGUUUAUCCUUCCCAAGACUACCAUCCUCCUCCAUCUUCCCAGGAUUAUCAUCACCCACCACCUUCCCAAGAAUACCAUCCUCCUCCACCUUCCCAAGAUUACCAUCCUCCGCCACCUUCCCAGGAUUAUCCUCCUCCACCUUCCCAGGAUUACCAUCCUCCUCCACCUUCUCAAGAUUAUCAACCCCCUCCACCUUCCCAAGAUUACCAUCAGCCUCCACCUGCAAGAUCAGACAGUUCUUAUUCCGAGCCCUACAACCACCAACAAUACUCACCAGAUCAGUCACAGAAUUUAGGUCCCAAUUACCCUUCUCACGAAACUCCCCCUCCUUACUCUCUUCCCCAUUUUCAAUCUUAUCCAAGUUUUACAGAAAGCAGCCUACCGUCGGUACCAGUAAACCACACUUAUUAUCAAGGGCCCGAUGCUUCAUAUUCUUCCCAGUCAGCUCCUCUGACUACAAACCAUUCAUUAAAUACCCAAAACAGUUCCAGCAGCAGAAAUGGUACUGUCCCAGAACCCAAGCCAACAACUCCGACAUACCAGUAUGACAGUAGCUACCAGCCACCACCUGAAAGAAUAGCAGAGGCACACAAAGCUGCAAGAUUUGCCGUUGGGGCACUGGCAUUCGAUGAUGUCUCAAUUGCAGUAGACUACUUGAAGAAAUCACUAGAGUUGCUAACAAACCCAUCAGUUGGCCAGUAAGAUUGUGUAAAAAUUGGUACUGGUAUACAUGGUGUCCUGUUUUGUAAUAUAUUAUAUUCCUUGUGCAUGAAGCGUGAAGAAAUUCAGUAAACAUGACUUGAAUGAAAAUCAUAAAAUUUGUCUGGAGUGUCUAGUUGUCAUUAAUAUAGAAGUCAUUGAGAUUGAUGUCUUUGUCAAGGGGUUAUGAGACAUGAGAUAUCUGAUUGAUGAAUUUCAGUUGUCUGUCUGGAUCAAUUUAUUAUUAUUUUUAAUUGGUCUUUUCUCUAAACUCAAUUUAGGUCCACAUACGUUCAUUUUUUUACCCUUAAGGAAUCUGAAUCUCAGCAUAAAACUUCUUUUUUAAGAAGCUCCAUUCAUAGAUUAGUACAAUUUGGUUUGGUAUAAACUAGAUUAGUACAGUUUAUAACUGCAUUUUACUACUUUAGUUAAGGCUGGUUGUAUUUUUCACAACUGGACAGCCACAUUUUUAUUGACUGGAAUUGUCAUAAUGAGAACGAAAGUGGAACAAACAGUUUUGGUAAGUUGAAACAAAGUUGUGCUUAAAGCUAGUUUGGAUAAAUUUUUCAACAGACACUUGCAGAAAAAUAAAACUUAAAAUGAUUUUCCAAACGAGUCUUCUUUAUAAAUAAUGUUCUUCAUUUGUUGGAGUUAGCUUCUGCAUUUUAACUUUUUCAUAAAUUAUUUUAUUAUCUCUAACAGAAAGAAAAAAAAAAAAUCUCUAACUGAACCAUGAACACUUGUACAUUUAUAACAACCUAUUAUUAGAGAACCGUAGUCACCUAUUUUGAUUUUCAUGAUGUGUAAAACGUAGUAAUUACCUUGCUUUAGGAUCUUUUAUGGAAUUAAAUAAAUGCUUGCUUUUAAACAACUUCAACCAGGCAAAUGACUAGAUUAUAGAUUGUUAAACAACUUCAUAAUGGAAGUGAUUAAUGUUUGCACUAUUUUGAGACAGCUUCCGCUCUAGGUGCGAGAAGAUAACAUAUUUGAUUUUUAAUGCAUUCGGAUGGCUACGGGACCAUUAUUGAAUUCAGCAUUUUCAGUUUAACAUUUUCGCUCCUUGAAAUGGUUACAAACUGCUCUCCUUGGAAAGAAGGGGAAAUGACUACAAGCUUUCCAUCAGACUGAAAAUCCAUAUAGGUUGGUGGGUUGAUUCACAAACACCAAAAUAUAAAGAAAAAUAUGUCCAUGGUUAGGUAAUUUGGGCAUGAAACAACUUUGAAUUCUCAAAGAGUUUGCCACUCAUUUUGAAUUUUCAAAGAGAGUUUGCUACUCAUUUCAGUUCCACAAAAUUUGAAUGAUUGGCAUCUACAGUUGUAUUUAUAAGAUAUCCAAUUUAUGUCAAUAAAUUGAUAGAUAAAUCCGCAUAAUUGGUCUAUAAAUAUUUUAAAAAAACAUUGAAGUCCAUUCUAUAGUUUAGAUUCUUUUUUUUUUCUUUUAUAUUCUCAGAAAAAUCCAAAAAAUUUUGCAGUAAUUUUAUUUGAUUUAUAGAAUUUUUUUUUUGUGGUAUUUUUAUAUUUUUAUUUGACAAGUUUUUAUCGUUUUUUACUUUGUUUUUUGGUUAUUUUUAAAAGCAAAAUUCAAAACCGCUGAAAUGGGAGAAAUAAUGAUUACUGAUUAUAUAUAAACCUAUUUUGGAUUAUAAAAUCCAAACACACUUCGCAUGUUUUUGGAUUUUAUAAACCGAAUUCCCAUGAACAUUUUUGUAAAAAUUAUAGGACGCAUAAAAAGUAGAUAGGGUGGUAAAAGUAAUUUUUAUCUGUCCAUCCAGCCCAGCCCAUCAGACACACUUUCUUUCCAAAACUCAUCAUCGCGUUUUCUUCUUCUUUCCCAACACGCACGCGCAGCACACAACCUUUCCACCACCGUCACCCACCGUCGUCUCUCCUCUCAGCCCGUAGCCACCUCUAUUCCUCCCUUAUCCCUUCCCACCCUAACUAACCUACGCUUUCUCUCUUUUCAUAUACUUGUUCCAUUCCACCACUCUUUAGCAAAGCAAUGGAGUUUCGGAACUUGCACAGAGCUAUCACAUUUUCUUGCAGUUGCAUCAGUUAAACUUAAAUGCACUGCCACAAUCACCCACAGUUUGCGCAUUGCAAUCGGCCGUAACAACAGAGCACUAUCAAUGUCGAGCUCGAAUAGCAGAGUUGUUGCUGUUAGAGAUGAAGGUCAAGGUCUUACUUACAAGGACUCUGGAGUUGACAUUGACGCUGAUUCUCAGCUUGUUCGAAGAAUUGCCAAGAUGGCUCCCGGGAUUGGUGGCUUCGGUGGUUUAUUCCCCCCUUGUAACUCAUUUUUCUUUUGAACUUGUUUCUAACGUAAGGGUAUGUUUGAAUCGGCUUAUUUCAGUUUAUCUAUUCAGCUUAUGAUUUUGUCACGAGUUGACUAAGAUAGCUUAUAAAAACAGCUUAUAGGUUGUAUGAGACAAACUUGACUCUUUAUAUCUUGUAUUAUAGAAAUAGCUUAUCUAUAAGCGCUUAAUUAAGCUAUUUGGAUUAUCAAGACCUCAAGCUGAGAUUCAUAGCUUUUGACUCUAGAAUUGAAUUUUAGUAAAUUGAAGUCAUUUUUUUUAGAAUACUAUUCCAACAUACCCGAGUGGCCCACUGUAGAAAUGUUUUAUGCAAUUCCAACCAUGAAAUUUAAAGAUUCUUUUCUUUUAGACUUUCCUGACAUUAAAUUUCGGGAUUAAAGGUACUUUUGGUCCCUAACAUUUGGGCAAAUCACCUCCCUGCCACAUCAUUUAUUUUGUACAGUUAAAUAACACGAAAGUCUAAAAGCAAAGAAUCUUUAAAUUAAAAGGUUGGAAUCUCAAAAAAGAAAAUUACAGAGGGGUAAACUGGAUUUCGAUCAAAUGUCGGGGGGCAAAAAUGUAUUUAACCCUUGUUUGUUUAGUUCCUUUUAAUUGGAUAUUAAUUUGACUUGUUUUGCGCAGGUGAUUCAUAUCUCGUUGCUGGUGCUGAUGGUGUUGGGACGAAGGCGAUGCUUGCUUUUGAAACUGGCAUUCAUGACACUAUUGGGAUUGAUCUGGUAAACAUUUUGGAUAUCUGAUUUUUUAUUUUUGAAGUGUUUCGGUUUUCUUAGGGUUUGAGUUUUGAUUGUUUUUCUCUCUAGGUUGCGAUGAGCGUCAAUGACAUUGUUACUUCAGGGGCAAAGCCUUUGUUUUUCCUAGAUUACUUUGCUACUGACAUUUUCUGUUGUUCAGGUUAUAAAAGGAAUUGUUGAUGGUUGUAAGCAAUCUGAUUGUGCUCUUCUCGGAGGAGAGGUAUUGAAAUAUUUUGUGGUUUAUUCUUGCCAAUUGGAUUUGCUGUCAUGUAUUCUUGCCAAUUCAUAAUAUGAUCAAUUUAGGGUAGACAAAAUGAAGUAACUAGAGCAUUCAUUCUUAAAAUAUCUCUAUUUUUGAAAGAACUUAUUGCUAGUAUCUGAUAUUGAGGGGGCUUAGCAUGAAGUAUACGCAGGAAAGGUUGGAGGUAUACUUAUUGAGGUGUGAUUUAGCUAUUUGAGAAAACCACAGUAGAACAAAGGCUGCAUUUGGAUAAGCUCGAACCGGGUAGGGAAGAAUUAAGAAAUUUAUUCAGUAAAAAAAAAUUAACUAUUAUAGAAGACCUCAAUCUAAAUGGUUUUAUUGGAAUUUGGUUUGUCCAUGCAAUUAUUCAUUCAAGUCGUAUUCCUACUUAUUAGGAUAAGACAUGUUCAAUUCCUUUUUUGGAUAGGACAUGUUCAAACCCCAUUAGGUUAUUGAAAUCUUAUAUUGUUGUCAAAUAAAUUAAGCACAUGUCUCUAUUUAAAUACAUAACUUCAUUUCUCACACGCGCGCAACUGCAUGUUAUUAUAAAUGUCGAUGAAGAUAGUGAUUAUUUAUAUUUCUCCUCUAAUUAAUUUUAUACACCUUUCAGACUGCAGAGAUGCCUGGUCUAUACAAAGAAGGUGACAUUCUUCAUUAUUUUAUUUUUUAAACUCACUCCCAUUUUGAUCUUGAAGUCGUCUCUUGUCUUUUUGAAAUAGGUGCCUGACAUAGUCAGCAAAGGAGGGGAAAAGGGAAUUGCCCAUAUAACUGGUGGCGGUUUCACAGACAAUAUUCCUCGAGUUUUUCCAGAAGGUUUUGGUGCUUCUAUAUGCAAAGACUCGUGGGAAAUGCCUGCAGUUUUCAAAUGGCUUCAGGAGGUAAAUUCUUAAAAUUUUGUUUUAAAUUAUUUAUAUCAAUAAUAAUAUACUUAAAUUUGAUCUUCAAAUCUUUUGGAAACAAAAGUGCACAGUACUAAUUACCUCUCACAUUAGGCUGGGAAGAUUGAAGAUUCUGAGAUGAUGCGCACUUUUAAUAUGGGCAUUGGGAUAGUCCUUGUAGUUACUCCAGAGGCAGCUAAUAGAAUACUUGAAAACGGAAGUGAUACAGAUAAAGCCUACCGCAUAGGUGAAGUUAUUAGCGGAAAGGGUGUGACUUACUGUUAGUUUAGUUUGAGUGUAAGAGGUAGCUACUAGCUUGAUACCUUUGGUGGGCAUAUGAACUUUCAAGUAUUACUGUCAUGUUCACUACCUAUAUAUAUUGCUAGGAAUAGUACUUGCAUUGCCUUCUAGAGUUCUAAUUUAUGAGAAAUGAGUUUUAAAUGAUGGUGCAUACUUUUUACCCUCAAUAUUAAUACAUUAUAUUCAUAUCUUUGGCAUAAAUGCAUGUAUAGAAAGAUCCAACUGAAGGCAUUCCAUCAGAUGUAGCAGACCUUCCCUCCUUAACUGAAGGAAUUUUAGUACAAUUUUUCCAGCACUGCUUAAUGCAAUUUGUGUUUUUUUCUUUAUGUUUGUAUGUUUUCGAGAAACUCAAGUCUAAUGGCAGAACAAGAUACUGACUUGGGGUUGGAUAUGAUAAGGACAUUGUCCUGAAGUUGAGAAAAUAAGUCAAAUAUUAACAAAUUAAUUGUACUUUUCAUGCAUAUCGAUAAUUGUAUUAUGUUCUAAAGACAAAGGUGUGGCUUCUUUGGAUUUGAAUGUGAGCAGGGUUGAGAGAACUGUACUAUAAUCUAAAUUCUGCUCAAUGGUGAAAAUGCGUGUUUUCCACUCAUGAUAAAGCAAAACAACAUCAUCAUUUAACAGAAACAUAUGUUAAAAAGGCAAAAUACUGAUUAAACAAUGACAGGUAAAAAAUUAUAGUAACAAAUAAAUAGUAGCAUUCUUAAUUGAGAGGAUGAAUUUCAACAAUGCAUUAAGGUCUAGUCACAAUAAUUUGGCUCCAAGGUCAGUUACAUUAAUUAAGUAUAUUGUAGUGUAGUAUAUGUUGCCUAUAAAAGGGCUGGCUAGAUGGAUUGUUUUCGUGUUGUAUGAAUUUUAGUGAGGUUGGUUUGUAGCUUUCCCCUGCUGCUAAGCAUACAUAUGUUUGUGUUGAAUCUUUGUCCCAUUGAUAUCAAAAUUAACAAAAAGGGGUGAAAUUUCAAUGUUGAAUAUUAAUUAAUAAAUAAUCACACAUGUUCAAUUAAUAAAAUUAUCCCUCAUUGAUUGAAUUUGACUAUUUGAGAAAUGAUUACAACUAAGUUAAUCACACACACCACACUUGUUCAACUAAAAUUAAUAUAAUAAUUUGCCAAACAACAACGAUUAUUGGUGCAUGCUGAGGGUAUCCUCUUCAUGCAAAAUGGUGGAACUAAACGUCUCUAAUUUAUUCUAGCCAUCUAAUAUUUAUCAAAAGCACAAAGUCCAUCUCUCCAACACAAUGUUGUCUAUGAGUGAGAAUGCAUGUCAUUUUCUCUAAUUUAGUUAAAGGGUGCUUUCUUUGGUCAAUUGAGAUAUGGUAUACGGACAACUUUCACAGCUCAAUGGUGAAAAAGAACAGUUAAAGGCUCAACAUAAUUUGAGUGAAAUUUCUCUCUUAUCUUGUCUUCACUUCACUACAACAUUGAUUAUGAUGUUGUCUUCAACUUGGAUCUUCAUGAAUCAUGAAUUCAUCAUGGUCACUAUUAUGGAUAUAUUCCAUAAACUCUUGCACGAAUUUUACUGUUAUCUUGAUUUUAGGGACCGGUUUCUUAACCAUUUAGAUAUUUAUAAAAUGAAAAUUGAGGUUACACAAGCGCCUUUGUGUGCAAUUAAAUAAAGAAAGGGCAAUGAGACUAAAACCAAAUGAUCUAACAUCAUAGUUUGUCAGGCACAAAAGGUAUAACAUAAGUUCAAUUCCAAUUUUCACAAUAUAUGAACACAAUAGUAUUCUCUACUUAGAAAGCAAAAAUUAGUUCAGAAACAAGGGAACACAAAACAAGUCAAAACGGACAUUAUGUGUAGAAAAUAAUUACAAUCAGCCAUAUAUAUAUAUAAUACACAAAAGAGGGAAAAACAAAUGAUAUUGAUCCUCCACAGCUGCAGCGGUAGAGGAUUCAGAUCCAAAAACAAGAUGCUACAAAUUGCGAACCUCUCUUUUCUCUUUCAAAAUUAAACAUGAUAGAGUGAGAGGCAAGAGAAAAGUCUUUGCAUUGUCGUCUUCAAGUGUCUUUUUUCUAUGAAAUGUAUAAAAUGGUCCAAUUUCUAACGAUUGUUUAUAUAUUAUAAAUAGGCAUAUGGUAUUAGAAAUCAAUGAACGAUGGAUCGAGACUUGUUCUCAUUGACUAAAAGAAAGGGAUGCGACUAUGUGAAAGAACUGUAGUUUCUCUAGAAGCUCUUUGGCACGAUUAGUGGCUCGGCGCUCCACUCUAAGGAAGAGCUCCUCACUAAGGUUAUCACCAAUGUGAGCAUCAACAAGGACUCCACACACAGUCCUGCAGCUGUUGGCUAGAGCCCUACCUACUUCAUUAGCAUCAUCUGGUUUGUUCAAAACAAGGGGACUUCCUCCUUUGAAUACCUCAAGUUUGUUUAUGACAAAUGAACCAUUUGCUUCAACUACCUCCUUGAAGUCUUGCAUACUUGGUGCAUAAACUGGAAUGUUAAAAUUGUCUCUUUUUGUAGAGCUAAUUAGUCCCUGCAUUUUACAAUGUGAUUCAAUGAUGAAAAAGGAUACUAUAUGCUCUAAUAGUUGGAAAAUCUUGAAGGAAGCUAUUGAUCAUCAUUCUAAACACAAGUUGCAAACACAUUACUGCUCAUACUACUCAAUUGCAUAUACACUAAUCAAGGUUUUCACUUUUAAUGCAUAAAUAAAAAUUAGUUCCAACUUAUUAUUAUAUUGGAGAAAUGCUAACAUGUGCCCUUAAAGCAGGGCACAUAUUAGUAUAUCAUCAAAAAUAAAAACCAUGUAUGGAAAAUUGUGUCAAUUUAUUUCUCAAAAUGUUGAAAAUUAAUUUUUUUUAAUAAAUAUAUUUUAUUUAUGAAAUUCGCCUUUAUGCACAUGUUAGAACAACCUUAUUAUAUGACAUGCGUCGAACUUUCAUAAUUUAUCACAUCUUAUCAUAAAUAUGAUGUUAGAGACCGUUCAAAUUCAAAUCAUUAUUAGUUUAAACCACUAAUUUUUCUUGAUCUUUCUCUAUAAAUAAGCAAUUAAGUUAUAUUUGACCGUAAUUGUGUUCGCGACAUCCUGUUAAUGUUACGCAGCAGGAAUAUAAAGUGUACUUAAGAGUAUCAUUUGCGUAAUUGCUUAAAGUUUAAUGUGAUGAUCCCCAAGACCCUUUCGGACCCAAAAUUCUGUGCUCAAGACAUGGCAGAUGACAAUUCUUGCAAGUACACUUCAUUGAGUACUGAAAGACAUCCUAUUUCUGCCAACAUCCUAUGAUCUAUGAUGAAUAUGGUUGGCCAGAACAAUAUGAGGGUGGUUAAUCAAUGGCUGUUAUGAUUGUAAGUGAUUGUGUUUUUUUAUUGAUAUUUAUCUCAAUAGUGUCUAUCUACAACUCCUUUUUGGUCUGCCAAUUGUAAAUAGAGGCUAAAUAUAUGUGAUUGUGAAGUGACUACUGUUCAAAAAACACAAAGCAUGCAUAAAAAUGUUUCUAAUUAUUAUUAUACCUCUUGUACAAGGUCAUCCCAAGCAUCCUGAAAGUGGGUCCCAAAAAGAACUCCAGCACCACCUUGUUCUGUGGGGUCCACUGAAGUUCUGCCUAAGCAAACUAAGAACAUGGACCCCUCUCUCUUCAUUUCCACUGACCUUGCACUCAAGAAGCUUGCCAAAUCUGUUUUGAACUGUCUCUUGUAGGCAUUGGCUGUGCUCUCAUUAGCACCAUGAAUAAACACCUUCCCUUUGUUGUAUGCAAUUGACUUCUUGUCCAACACUGAUUCUGGUAUCUGCAAAAGUAUACAAAGUGAGAGUGAAAAUUUAUUUAAAAUGAAGAGAUAGCGAAAUAUUCGAAAUAACACACUUAAAAUGAGAUGGAUGAAACUAACAAAGUGAGUGUGUAGAAUUUUUUAUUGGAAACAAUACAAGUUCAAAAUAAAGUUGAUAGACUUUUAAUAAUCAUUGAUAUCUUGUGAAGGAAUAAGUUGGGUCCAUCAUGUAUGAAAACUCUUUUGGACCAUAGUUAUGCACUCUCAAAAAAGUUAGUGAAAUUUCUGCAUAUAAAUGUACUCCAAGCCAAGGUGUGCAUGAAAGUUGAAUAAGGAGUAUGAUCGCAAUAAAAAAUGAUAUAUGCCGGCUGAUAUAUAUAUAUAUAUAUAUAUAGAGAGAGAGAGAGAGAGACUAUAAAGUCCAAGGUGCAUGAAAGUUGGAUAAGAAUUUAAGAACACAUUAUGUGUUUACUAUGCAUGCAUUGAAAACUACUGUUCAAACACGUUCUUGUUUCCAUGAUACAUGGUCCUUUUUUCGACUGACCAUGAAUUUGUUGCAUUAACUUUUUGACCACAUAUACAUAAAUUAGAACUUAGCAUUCAAAGUAAUAAUGGUUUUACUAUAUUGUCCUUGAGAUAAAACUUUCGUCCCUGUAAUAUUAGCGAAUUUCGGUUUUAGUCCCUGUAAAAAAAAAUUAGAUUUUGUCCCUGUAAUUUCAUAUUCUUCCACUUUUGGUCCUUCAUUCCACCAUGUAAGCAGAAUCUGCAUACAUGGCACGUAAAAUGAGGGACUAAAAAUGGAGGAAUCUGAAAUUACAGGGACCAGAAGUGGGAGGAAGAUGAAAUUACAGUGACAUAAUUUAUGUAGGUUCUGUUGACUUGAUGAAAGGAGGGACCAAAAGUGGAAGAAUCUGAAAUUAUAGGGACAAAAUCUAAAUCUUUUUUUUACAAGGACUAAAACCGGAAUUCGCUAAUAUUACAGGGACGAAAAAAGGUAUUUACCUAAAACAAAUAUAUUAUUUUGUGGUAGAAUUGUUUUUUAUGUAAAUUUUGUAGUAGGAAUUACAGAAUCUUUGAAUGCUGAAUUAUAUUGAUAGGUAGGUUCGGUGUGAAUUAAAAGUCAAGGAGAAAUCGCUUUAAAGGUGUUUAAAAAUUUACGUAAUCGUGAUUCAUCAAAAGUUUUCAGGGUUUUUUUUUUUACUUAAAGACAUUGUUUAUACACGACACGAUUAAUCAAAAAUUUAUAUUAAAUAAUAUCAUCUCAGAUUUUCAAUAAAUUUUUUUUGAUAUUCUUUUUAUUUAAUAUAUUUUAUUAAUUAUGUCUGGAUAUUAGUGAUCUCCCUCAAGUUUAUUUACACAAUAUUUGGUACCUUAAAGUUGGAAUUCCAAGAGAAAGGUUACAAAAGAUCACGGGCAAAUGAAUGAUAAAACAACGGCAUAGAAUGAUUCGAAAUUAUUGUAUUAUUUUGUAAAAUAAUUUAACCCCUCUAGCCUAUAGGUUGCACAGAAAAUUAAAGGAAAAAAAAAAUCUUUUAAUGAAAUCUUAGGAACAAAAUUAACGAUAUACACCAUACUUCUUCUUUAGGUGCCAAAUGAAAAACAAUAUGUAAAUUAUUGCACGUUUAAAAUAAUUGGUAGAAAUUACAUAAAUAAUAUAUGCAAGUAUCAGAUUUGAAUUUCAAACACUUUAUCUAUUCACUUUAAAAAAGAUGAAUUUAUAAUCACGAAGCUACUUAACAAAAAAGCAAAAUAAUUUUCAAAGCAGUUUAAAAUGCUUCUAAAAAAAUACAAAUACAAAGCAAUUCAAAAUUUAACGGGGGUCUUUUAAAAAAAAAAAAAAUCUUAGAGAGUUCUAUAUUUAAGAAAGGGAAAAAAUAAAAUUAUUAUAUAUUGUCUUCUUCACAAAAUUUAUAGUGACAGAUUCACAAAGAAAUCUUAUGUUUUUCUCUCAAUUUUCAUUGGUAAUUAAAUUUUCUUUAGUAAGUUAUGAGAUCAAAUUACUUGAAAGUAUUUAAUGUUAGGGUAUAUCAUCUAAACUUUUUAGUUCAACUAAUGUCAAAAAAUAAUGAUUUAGCCAUCAUUAAAAAACCUUAAUAAUAAUAAUAAGACAAAUUAAGCUUACUUACCUUAGAUAACCAAUGCAAAGAAAACGCAGAGUGAAAAACAUCAACAGACCUCGCCGGAAAAAGCCUCCGAUAAAACGAACCGGGAACUCCGGCAACAAAGUAGGACCUUUGGUUAUCAGCAGCUAAACACUCUUCCAUGCUAACACCAUUGGCAAGUGGAGGAAGGAGCUGAAAGAGAGUGUUGAAGUCAUUGCUAGGAAGAUCAGAGAAAUAGGCUGAAAAUUCAGGUGGGUUGCAACCUAAAGCCUCAUAACGCUUAUUGAUGUGAUUUAUGAUCACAUUCACCACAUUAAUGGUGUUGCUUCCACAUGAACACCCCAAAUCAGCAACUACAAAAGCCUUGUCACCACCACCACCACCACCACCACCACCACCAAGCUUAACUUUAUCUAGGGUUUCUCUCAAAAAGUGAAUCAUUGAUUUGGCAUGUAUGGCCUGCAUGUAUGUUUAGCUUGAAUUUUUAAGCAACAUUUUCUGCUAUAUAUCAAUAUAAAAUUUGCAAUAUAUAUUAAGAAAGCUUAAAUAAAUACUUUGAGGGUAAGUAUAUACUAUGUGAAUGAAUAUCACUUAAAUUAGUAAGAGGAAAUUGGAGAGGGAUUUCAUUUUUCAUGUGUCACAUAUUUUUGUCCCUAAUUUUACCUUGUUUAAUAGUGAUAUUAGAUAUUUAUUAGAAUUAGAAAAAUAAGAUUAGAUAUUAGUGUACCUGUGCUUGGGAAUUGUUGGCAUAGCUGGCCUCUCCUUUGCCUCCUUUCAUGCUAAACAACUUCUCCAGCUCCAAAUUGGACACAACAACAUUUUCUUCCAUAGGAGCCAUAUUUGUAUUAAUAAUAUUUAGGGAAGUGAGAAUGAAUGAAAGAAUAUAUGAAAAAAGAGGGGUUUAUAUAUGUAUGUAUAAGAUAGGAAAACCAAGAGAGAAAGAGUUGAUAUAUAUAGGGGUGGGAGGACAUUGGACAAGGCUACUUUUGUUUUUUUGUUAGAGGAAACAUUACUUUAGGUUGGAAAAAGAUAGACAGAAACCUUUUUGUUAUACACCUCUCAUGUACACCCCAUAUGUCAGGGAUAUUUAGUAAUUUUACAUCACAUCAUCAUCCCUUUUUAUAUCUUUUUCAAUAUUUUUGCCACAUGUCAUAAAUGUGUAUGAGUGUAAAAGGGUGUAUGCCACCUAAAGUGGUUCAUGUACCAUCACUCCUUUAUGUUAGAUUGAAAAACCGUGGCCACAAAAUGGAGCGAUAUUAUUGUGCAAGUUUGGUAUUUGUUUACUCAGUUGGAUUCUAGACACAAAUGGCUAACAACGUAUAAUAAUUGUUAAAAAUUACUUAGUUAACUUUGCAAUUAGAGAAAUUGCAAGGAAACUCCAACAAAGUUAAAGGCACAGAAAUUAGGCCUCAUAUACAACCAGAAUGGCCCAAGGCUAGCACCAUAUAAUAUAUAUUUUUAUAAGUUAUCAGGGCAUAAUGAAAGCAUAAUUCAAGCUAUACGAUUAUGAAAAAUGUCACAUACUGUCACUGUUUUAUACAAUCUGCAAAAGAAAGACUUAUAUCAUAAGUGAGUAGGUGCGCUAUAUAUACAAAAAAUUCCAUCUUAACCUUUUUCCAAUUUUUAUUAAAUCGGGUACAAAUUGAUCUCCAACGCCCAAGUAGAUUAAAUAAAAAGAAAGAGUAUAAUUUAUUGAUUUUGUCCUCCUAAAUAUAGCUCAGUUGGUAAGACAAAUACAUUGUUAUAUGUAGGCGUCGAAAUUCAAACUCUAAACACCCAAUUUAUUUACCUUAAAAAAUGAAUUUUAUCAAUAAACUACUUGACCAAAAGAUCGUGGGGACAUAAUGUCUCACUCAGUGUAACAAAAAAAAUUAAUAACCCAAAUGUGAAACACAAGGUAAAAAAACAACAAAAACAAACCAAAUUCAAAGUUAGACACACAUCACGUGUACAAUCUAGCGAAACCGCGUACAGGCACGAAACUAAAUUUCAACAAAACACAGUGUGUGUGAAUAAACGAGCACGGAAUCGAAAUUUUGAGAGUAGCAAACGAACCAUAUCGCCAACACGAAAACAGGAUCAUAAACCAACAAUGCACAUCAUCUAACUUGGGAACAACAAGCUUCAAAGGUCAUUUCCAAUCAUACAUUUCAUAACAUGACAACAACGGCGAGAUGGAUCGACAGAGACAAAACCACAAUCGUCGCAAAACAACAGUGAUCUCUCUUACUCCAAAACUAGAUCCGUCAUUUUUAAGAGCGGACGUGAUGGCGGUAGAAAGCCAACCACCGAUGUUGUUCAACCGUUUUCGAUUGCUUAAAUAUUUCUCCUUCCGAACUCAAACGUAAGCAACAACAAAAAAAUAUUAUGAUCUCAAAUACAAGGGUGUGAAAUAUUAUGGCCUAAACCACUUUUUUAAAAGGGUGUGAUUUUUUAUGAUGACUUAAAUGCGCAUGGACCACUAUUUUAAAAGGUGCGGUUUUUUGCUUACAUAUGACAGGAAUAUAAGAACAUUUGCUCAAUAGAUCAAUGAUCAAUACAAUUAAUUUUAUAUGUAUAUGCUAAAAUAUUGUAACGCUAACCAGCAUUAGAUUAACAAAUGUUUUAUUUUAUGAGUUUAGCUCAAUCGACAGGGACAUUGCAUAAUUAAUGUAGAGGUAGAGUUCAAACUGAGACAUGUCAUUUAUUCUUUUUAAAUGAUGAAUUUCUAGCUACUAGAUUACAUAAUAAAAAGAAGUAAUAAAUGUUUUGAAAAGUAUGGAGUAAUGAUACGUGUAAUAAGAGAUAAUCAGCUACCUCAUCAAUUAAUUGUUGAAAAACAAAAGAGACAUAUACCAUUUGGUCAUUAUUUAUUAUAAGUAAAAAUCAACAUUUUAGAUUCAUUUAUUAAAUGAUGUAUGUAGUCUAUACUAACGACCAUAUACCUCAUUAAUUUAAUGAAUUUAAAAUAUAAAUUUUUUUAUAAUAGUGAUUAGAGAAUUUACAUUAUAAUACAGAAGUUUUCUUUCAUUUGACCUAAGUUUGCUAUGUAUAAGGAAUUUUAUAUUGGUUACUGUUUCGUAAGCAACUUUUAAAUUUUUGGAGUGUAUUCUUGUUUGAAGAUUAAUUACAUUUGUCGGCUAUUUGGGGCUUUAUCAUAAACUAAUAAGAGUGUCAAAGUGACCCAUUAAAAGCCAAAUGAUGGUUAACUAUUUCAUGGUUUGUUAAGUCAUCACCGCAAAAAAGUCUAUAUAUAACCCCAGAAAUUAAGGUUCAUCGGUUUGUAGUACCUAGCUAACAUUAGUAAUAAAACAUCAGUUUAUACGUAACAAAUAAAUAUGAUUCUUAAUAUCUUAUCUAGAAGCAAAAGGGUCAUUGUCGAGUGGGUUAAUUGUAUUCUUAGAAAUUAAGAUAAGAAGAUGUGGUUUUUAGUCGGGUAAUUAGACGGGAUAGAGACAGAUUUUACCUUCUCCAUCUCUAUCUUUGAUUUUCAUAUAUUUAUUUGUUACCCUAUUAAUAUUCAAUAGGGAUGAAAAAUUGAUUUUCAUCUCCAUUUUCGAUGGGUUCGGAUAUCCAAGCCUCAUUCCCGUCCCUGCAGUGAAUCAAUUUUUUGAUAAUGAAAAAAGUUUUUUCUAAACCCGAAAACAAUGUUGUAAUGCAUUGUCCUGGAAUAUGCUCGCUUUAAUAUCUUCUCGACCGAAUGAUUUUGUUGUUUAUUUAAAUAUCAACAAUAGUUUUUAUAACGACAUAUCAAUCACCAUAAAAAAAAAAUGGCAUAUGCCGGCAUAUGUGAUAUUGAAUUUUGAUGACAUUGUGUAUUAUCUCACAACCAAUCAUUCUCUCUCAUUAAAAUUAAUUUAUUUUAAUCAUUUAUAAAAUAUUCUUUCUCAUCAAAAUACACUAAUAUCCGGAACGUUACCAAAAGUCAAAGUCACUAAAUAUUUUCUCAUCUCAACCACCUGGUUUGGGCAGGUGUGAGCACUUGCUUCAUGCCGCACUUCUUUUUUGUUAGAAAUUUGUUGUGAAUCUAUUUCAUUCUUUUCUUUUAUUUUUUCUUUUGCCGGUUUUUUCCGCUAUAUACUAUACUAUUGUUUUUCUUAUUGUUUUCCGAAAUGCUAAGAAAUUUCAAGUCCAUUAAUUUAUUACUUAUAAGAAAGGAUGUUUAGCUUUUUCAAAAAGCAAAAGGUUAUAUCGGAGGAUUUUAGUAAAGCAUAGGAUUUCAUAAAACUGCAUUCAAAAAAAGAUCUCAGAAAUAUUCACAUACGUCGACCUACAGUUGGUAUAUGGGAAAAGGGAUGCAUCAAAAGUUUUCUUAUGGUCAAAUAUUAAAUCAACGAUCAUUUACAUUUUCACGAGAAAGUGAAACAUUUAUGUCUCCUCCGUAGAUUUUCAGGUUACUUGUUGAAUCUUCGGGCAUUUGCCCCUCCUAUAAAGAGAGAAAAAUUAAACGUGUUUAGAUUUCAUUCUCAAAAGUUAUUUUCUUUAUCUCAUUAUAAGUGUUUUAUAGUUUAGUUUAGCAUGGUUUCUUAAAAAAAAAAUUAUUAACUAAUAUUUUAUCGGUACUAUAUAGAGUCAUCUCAUAUUUUAUUGGUAAUGUUUUAUUAGUAGAGUUUGAUAGAAGACGAAGGGAGUAGAUAUAAUCGAGUUGAGAUCUUCUCCAUUUCUUAAAUAAAAUGGAAAUGUUAAUGACUAUAAUUUUGAACAUUUAUACAUUAAAAUUUUGGCAAUGGAAAAAUGGAGUGGAUCAUAACUCCUCAUGAUCAUCAUUAAAAAAAAGUUAGCUCAUGAGUCAUAGAUCUAAUUUUCACAUUAUUGUUUUUAGCUCGGCCCAUUGUGAUCUUGUCUCAGAAAAAGCUUGUCCAUAAAAUAAACAUGUCCAACCAUGGGGAAUUCUUAGAUAAUCACAAACACAAAUCUAAAUCAUGUAGGCACACAUACAACAAUACACAUUAACCAAUAUUUUUAAUAAUAAUAACAAUAAAUUGAUUUUUUUUUCUCUUUUUACUUAUUUUCAUUGUAUGUGUGUCUAAACCAAAUAUAUUUAUGGUUGUGACCAUACAAAAAUUGCUCGUCCAACCACAUAUAUGUCAAGAAUCGCAAUAGAUUGGAAACCUUGGCAAUACAACUUCGAUGUAGAGCACUCAAAAAAAGUGAAACUCAUGUUCUCUCAAAAAGAGCACAUGAUUUCUUGUUGUUUUUUUUAUGGAAGGAAUAUUUAUCGUAAGACGCUAAAAAAUAUUUGAGACGACAAAUUAAAUUUUCUCAAUCCUUGUUGAUUGUUUCAUAAAUGUCAAUUUACAAUUUUGACAUUAAUAUCUUUAAUCGUUCAUUAGUAAAAAUGAUGAAAUUUUAAUAUUUUAAAAAUAUUUAUCAAGACAAAUUCAUUAAUCUUUAUUUGUUAGUAGAAAAAUAUCAUCAAAAUAUGUUAUAUGAAUAGGUCAAACAAACAACGUGGUUUAUCUUAUGAUGGAGGCAGUAGAUCUAGAGUUCAAUUGGUCAAAGGAUAUUAAAGAGGAUGAUGUGUCUAAAUUGACAAUGGGUUCCAUAGAAUAUGUUAAAAUAAGUGACAAAGUUUUCAACAUGAUGACCAGGUGAAAGAACAAGUUUUCCUUUGUUUAUUACUUAGUUACUACUAUUUUUUCCUCCAAAGUUGAAGUAUGAUCGAUCAUACACUACAAUAAUUAUAUUUAUUAAUCAGAUCAUAGUUAUGAUCAUUAACUCAAAAUGAUCAUAGUCCAAUGAGAGUAAAUAAUUAAUUUAGUCCAUAAAAUUGUAAUGCCUACAUAUGAUUAAGCUCUUGAGGUAGCAAAUGAUCUAGUUUAAAAUGAGUAUCCUAUUCAACAAACUCACCAUACAAUAACUUGAGUCAUUGAUUGUGAAACAAAUUAACUUAAUUUCUGCUAAUAUUACUUAACCUGAGUUUGGAAACAGUUUAGUUUAGCAUUAAAAAUGAGAAACAAGACCAUGGUCAAAAUAUGAACGACAAAAGUAAUUACUAUAAUGAUGUGAUCAAACUCCCAAAAAAAGAAUAAAAUCGUAAUAAUUAACAUUGUAGUAACCAACUAAGAUGACCCCUCUAAAUUUUUACAUUAAGAUCCAAAAAUUCGGAAUCAUGUCUCAUCUGAUUUUCAGCCAAUUAGUAAAUGGCCCUCCUCCUUUUUGAGCUCCUUCAAUUCAUACUUCAAAAAUCACCGUGAUAGUCGCAGGUUCACGUGAAACUAGGCCGGAACAUUUUCUUCUGCUACCAUUUUUAUUUAUCACCAAAACCACCUUAUACAAAAUGUUUUUGAUUUAAAUAGGAGUCACGCAACUAUAUAGACUAAUUCUUUCAAAUCUUUAGAGAUUUAAAUGGUCGACAAACUAUUCGUGAGAGUUUUAAUAUUGUUGCAUGUCUCGGUUAGAGUUUGUCAUACAAAACAAAAUGUUAUAUAUUGCUUAAACAUGAUUCAUUUUUUUAGGGGUUUAUUUUAUUUAUUAGUAACCCACGCUUCUAUGAUUAGAGCUCUCAAAUAGGUCGGUCCACUCCACUGUGGUCCAACGAGCCAAUUUUUUAUAUGGUGGAUCAAAAAAUAUGAUUGUUUUUAUGUUUACUUUCUUAUGACUCAGACAAUGCUAAAAUACGGUUUAAAAUGACCGGUCCAUUUUAAUAACUCUAAAUGUUUGCUUAUUUGUUUUAUUUUUUUAUGUAAGAAUUGAUUUCCUAAUAUAUUUUGAUCUUAGAAUUCAACUCAAUAUCAAUUGACAUUCUAUUAGUGGAUAAUAUUUUUAGAAGAAUUAGUGGGUAAUUAGUAAUCAACAAAACUCAUUUUUCUUGGAGGAACCAAAAUUGUUAUGUUGGUGUGGACUACCAUAAUGUUACUAAAUAUAGUCAUUCAAAAAAGAGAACUAUAGACUUUUAGCCACUAAAAGAGAGUUGAAGUAUAUGGUGGCAUGGUCAAAAGAUGUUUAAGAAAUAAUAAUUCUUUCACUUUUUCAUAUAUGCUUUGUGCAAUGGCUUCUAUGUGUGUAGUUUUUCUUGCGUGUCCCGGCUGAUUCAUAUUUGGACUUUGGAGACAUGUGGAUGAGGCCCCUCAUACUUUGUAACAAAAGUUUGUAAUAGAAAUGUGUUAGCUAUGUUUUUUGAUGUUUGUGCUUUUAUUUCUAGGAUCUUUUAACCUAACAACAUGCUUUAUUUGGCCUUGGUAGUCCUUUCACAAAGUCAACAACAAUCUUUUAUUUUUAAUAAUAAAAAAAAUCAUGAGAGAAUCAUAGGAAUUUAAGUGAUAAAGAUGUCAUGGUUCAAUUCCCUCCUCUGGAAAAAUAAUUGUUAGCUUAGGAAAUUUCAAAAGAACAAAAAAAUAAAAAGUUGCAAGAUGACCUAUUAAUAAAUUAACUAGAACUAGAUUUUGAUCUAAAACUAUGAACGAAAUUAUUUUUCUAGCUUUUCCACUUGAUGCUUCCCUUUACCUAUUAAUAAAUUAACUCCAGAAAGGAACAACGUUCUCAAACUUAUUAUAGCAGGGCAGUUAUUUGUAUUAAACUUUUCAGACAAAACAAACCGUAGAGUGCAUGCAUGGUUUGUCACGACAAAGAAGAGUUUAUUUCUACAAAAGAACAUUUAUUAGUUAGGUAUAGUAUACAUAGGUUUUGCCUAACUAUGCUGAGCUUGAUCCCUAAGUGCCAGACCAAAUGAGUAUAUAUAAAUAGUGAAGAAUACAUGUAUUGAUGAAAUUGAGGUUCGAAUCCACAUGUCUAUCAAACUAGUAUAAAGUUGAUAAGCCUUAUUUCACAUUAUUGGUCAAGAAGUAGAUUUCAAAUUUUUAAUAUCAUGGUUGGAUAUAAUUGAAGCAACCAUCAUCUAUUCUAUCCAUACAAGCCUUCUUGAUCAGAUCGGGAAUUCAAUGAUAUUGAUAUUGGGAAAGAUAUGAGCAUGAAAUUUAGGAGUUGAAUUUUUUUGCUAAUCAUAAAAUAUUGUAGUAGCUCUAUACAUUUCCAACGCUAGUCCUUUAGACUUGUCAAAUGUCAAAGCUUAUUCAAUUCACUACAUUUCCAAUUAUGUAUUAUCUUAUCGCCUUGUGGAUUUAGUUAAAAAGAUCAUGGAAAGUUUAGAUAAUACAUAAUUCCAAACAUUUCGCUACACGUCAUUCGCGUAUACUUCGUGAUGAAUAUGUUUGCGAGAUUAAGCAUUUGCCGAAUCAAAUAGCUAAUUCGUUAAUUUUACAUAGAUUACCUGUGGGAAAAAAGUUUCAAUUUUAAAUACAAACAUUUCGACAAAAGGUAUACAAAAGAAAGGCCAAAACAUAUUGAUUAAUUCAAUAGAGUUCAUGGAAUUCACAAAGUAUUAAAAUGCCUAGAGAUCACACAAAAGAAAUUGUAAAAUUUUGCACUUACAAUUGUAUCAAUGGAGCGGGAGGUUUGAAUCAUCAUGGCAUCUUCUAAAACUAAAACUAAUCAAACUUGAGUUUUGCGUAAUACAUUUUAGAAAUUGUAAUUCACAUGUUUUACCUCUAAAAGAACAAAGAACAAAGAAAGGUUAUGUCAGUGUUUCAAAAGUAACAUUCUUGCCUCAGAAAGUAAAAAAAAAGAAAAAAGAAAAUGCCUAGCUUGUCAGAAACGCUUGCUUUUAGCAAGUGAGGCAAAAAUAUAAUUGGUUACAAAUUCCUCCAACAUUGGACAACUGUAGACAAGUGAAUAUCACCGCAAUCUGGUGAAGAGCUUUGAGUCGAUGGAGGUGUGCACUAAAAGGAAGACAAUCGAGAACCAAACUCUUGAACUUGCAUAGAUGUAAGUAUAUAAGCCUUCAUUUUUCAAUUUUUUGAGUGCCUUCAAGAGAGAGAAUAUUGAAAAUCCAAAAGAGGGAACUUUAAAAUUUAGUGUCUUUGGGUAAGGUUCUUAGGUUAGGAAACACUUGACAGAUACCUUGGGUAGUGUCAUUUCAUUAGAUAAAGGGAUCAUAAAGCUGUCACUUUUCUUUUCUCGUAUGAUUCAUUGUGGGCUUGAGUAACUUGAAAAAUAGGUGGGAAUUAGGGUUUGUUCUAUGUGCACAAAUGUGAAUUAUAUAGAAAAUUUACAAUGUUCCCAGUGGCUUGUAGAGAGAAACAUUGAAUGCAAGAACAUAAGUCAAUAUGUACAAAUUCAUUUAUCAAUGAUUAACAUCAUCUAAACGACAUUUUUCUUUAACUUAAUGAAAUGAAUCAAAAGUUACUAGAAUGAAAUUAAUCAAAAGUUACUAAAAUGAAACUAAUCAAAAGUUACUAGAUUAAAAGCUAUUUAAUCGAAGAAUACAUCAGUGGAUUUAUCCUUUCUUUCCAGUGUUACCACAUUUGCCAACAACGAUGAUGGAGAGGGAAAAAAAAACUCCAUUCAUUUAUGUUUUCAAUCAAACUUCCAAAUUCUUGUCAGAAACCUUCAGUAAGUGCAAAAGUACGACCGGCUAAUGGAGGAGGCAAUGCACUUACAGCUUGUUGAAUUUCCUGAAUAUCAUAAAGCACAAAACGGUGCAUAAGCAUUCCAACGAAAAACUUACCUGGAGAAAACUAAUAUUGUGCUAAAAGCAACAUGGUAUUAAUUUCAAUCUUUUGGAAAUAUUGAAAGCAACUUGAAUUUAGAUUCAGGAUGUGAAAAAGCAUGGCGUGGUCACAUUACAGUCAAGAGAUUGGAGUCAUUAGACGAAAAUCAGACAGUUC
rnacentral:lncRNA from 1 species